UAAAUUUUAAGCUAGAAUAAGAUAUUUCAGUGUUCCAUGUGACUCAGCCAUAAUAAUCGAACAUUUUUCUAAAUUAAUAGCAAACUUGAACUUUCAAACAUCUUUGUUGUCGCGACAACUCUUCCGCAGUAGCUCCCUCCUGUAAGCCCAUUAUGAGCACUAUCUGUAUUGACUUUUACAUACCCAUAUUGAGGAGCAUGCCAGCUAAUAGCCCUCUCAUUGAAAUCAUGUUGAGUAACAUGCAUCAAAUUCAUUAUCUCAGCACCCAUUAAGAAUUCCUGUGUUCGGAGAAGAAUAAUGUUUGCCAUUCCUCUUGUAUAGCUUACUGAACGAGAGACUAAAAACUCAUCCCAUUGCUUCCAUAACGUCGAACAGGCGACCCCAAAUAAACUACUCCAUGGCACUCCUUGAAUAUUAACAUGUUCUUGCGAUAAUUUUUAUACCAGCCACUCCUUUUUAUCCAAAUUAGUAG
rnacentral:lncRNA from 1 species